rnacentral:lncRNA from 1 species
CUCUCUCUCUCUCUCUCUCUCUCUCUCUCUCUCUCUCUCUCUCUUUUCUUCAUAGCAAAUAGAAGAACCUACUAAUAAUAGGAUAAUAUCCAUAUUGGUCAAAAUCAAAAGCACUAUUCUUUUCAUUGACAACGAAAUUCUCCUUAACCAGAAAACUUAUUAGAAAAUAUUUCUCAAUCACAGAGUUAAUAUCGUUGACCAUCUUAAAAUAAUUUAAACAACCAAUAUUCUCAUAAUUUACUAAAUCACUUCCAAUCAAAAUCCCAAUUUGCAUUGUAAUUUGAAAUGAUCUAAAAUUUCAAAUUCUAGCUAAAGCCAAAGAAUAAUUCUAGAAUUUCAUCCCAAUUAUAUUUUCCAUCUACAUAGCAGUUUCAUACAUGAUCCACGUAUAGUCUUCAAUCCUCGAAGAAUAUUUCAAUGAAUAUCAUCAUAUAUAUAUAUUUAUAUUUAGCCCAAACCUUAAACAACAUUUCAUAUCUGAACCUUAACUUGUCACCGAAUUAAUUAACUUCAAGCUAGAAGUAACAUCAUAGUACCCAAUAUCAAUUUGAACAUCCAAAAUACUUACAUUGCACGAUAAUAUUCCAAGACUAAUACUCUUUCACUUAACUUAGUCAAAAUCCAAUUAAUAAUAUCUUGGAAUACAAAUUACUCCACCAAGAAAACUCUCAAAAUAGUCUAUUCAUACUUUGGCUAUAAACACAGUUAGCUAGCAUUCUGAUUUCAGUAUCACAAAAAUUCAGAUAAGAUAGCACAAAUUUACCACUAACAAAAGUAAACAAAGAUAUUGGUCUUCUUGCCCUAUCUCUCAAACUUUCCGAUAAAUUCUCAGAAUCCUAAAAGCUAAGCUCUGAUAUGACUAAUCAUGAUUCCCAAGUAAUCUUAAACCUAAGCUCUGAUACCACUUAAGUUGUCACGCCCCCGUCCCGAGAUCGCGGGCCGGGGGUCGCGCCAACCGCCGCACACCCGUAGGAAACUCUCCCCACGAGUAUGCAAGGCA